UACGGAGGGGGCAAGCGUUGUUCGGAAUCAUUGGGCGUAAAGGGCGCGUAGGCGGCCUGUCAAGUCGGGUGUGAAAUCCCUCGGCUCAACCGAGGAACCGCACCCGAUACUGUCGGGCUGGAGUCCGGGAGGGGAUGGUGGAAUUCCCAGUGUAGCGGUGAAAUGCGUAGAUAUUGGGAAGAACACCGGUGGCGAAGGCGGCCAUCUGGACCGGUACUGACGCUGAGGCGCGAAAGCUAGGGGAGCGAAUGGG
rnacentral:rRNA from 1 species